rnacentral:rRNA from 1 species
AGUAAAGAAUCUUCCGCAAUGGACGAAAGUCUGACGGAGCGACACCGCGUGGUGGAUGAAGCUUUUCGGAGUGUAAACACCUUUUAUGGGGGAAGAAAAUCUGACGGUACCCCAUGAAUAAGGACCGGCUAAUUACGUGCCAGCAGCCGCGGUAAUACGUAAGGUCCAAGCGUUAACCGGAAUUAUUGGGCGUAAAGCGUCCGCAGGCGGUUUGCCAAGUUGAUUAUUAAAUACCGACGCUCAACGUCGGUGCUGUAGUCAAAACUGGUAAACUAGAGAUAUGGAGAGGUGCGUGGAAUUGUGCAAGUAGGGGUAAAAUCCGUAGAUAUGCAUAGGAACACCAAAAGCGAAGGCAGCGCACUGGCCAUUAUCUGACGCUCAGGGACGAAAGCGUGGGGAGCGAAAGGGAUUAGAUACCCCUGUAGUCCACGCCGUAAACGAUGCGUGCUCGAUGUUGGGACCCUCGACCUGGUCUCAGUGUCUAAGAUAACUCGAUAAGCACGCCGCCUGUGUAGUACGAUCGCAAGAUUAAAACACAAAGGAAUAGACGGGGACCCACACAAGCGGUGGAUUGCGGGGUUUAAUUCGAUAAUAAGCGAGUAACCUUACCCAGGCUUGACAUCCUAAUCGUAUUUUCUAGAGAUAGAAAAGUCAGUUCGGCUGGAUUAGUGACAGGCGCUGCAUGGUUGUCGUCAGCUCGUGCCUUGAGGUGUACGGUUAAGUCCGCGAACGAGCGCAACCCUCGUC